GCACUGCUGACGAGUCCCAAACAGGCUGAAACAGUUGUCCAGUAC
rnacentral:hammerhead_ribozyme from 1 species